rnacentral:rRNA from 1 species
GCUGGCGGCGUGCCUAAUACAUGCAAGUCGAGCGAACAGACGAGGAGCUUGCUCCUCUGACGUUAGCGGCGGACGGGUGAGUAACACGUGGAUAACCUACCUAUAAGACUGGGAUAACUUCGGGAAACCGGAGCUAAUACCGGAUAAUAUAUUGAACCGCAUGGUUCAAUAGUGAAAGACGGUUUUGCUGUCACUUAUAGAUGGAUCCGCGCCGCAUUAGCUAGUUGGUAAGGUAACGGCUUACCAAGGCAACGAUGCGUAGCCGACCUGAGAGGGUGAUUUNUNCACACGGGAACUGAGACACGGUCCAGACUCCUACGGGAGGCAGCAGUAGGGAAUCUACNGCGAUGGGCGAAAGGCUGCCGGAGCAACGCCGCGUGAGUGAUGAAGGUCUUCGGAUCGUAAAACUCUGUUAUUAGGGAAGAACAAAUGUGUAAGUAACUAUGCACGUCU